GACGAGGGAUCCUAGCGUUGUUCGGAAUCAUUGGGCGUAAAGCGGGUGUAGGUGGCUUUAUAAGUCGGGUGUGAAAGCCCAGGGCUCAACCCUGGAAGUGCAUUCGAUACUGUUUAGCUUGAGUGUGGGAGAGGUUACUAGAAUUCUUGGUGUAGUGGUGAAAUACGUAGAUAUCAAGAGGAAUACCGGAGGCGAAGGCGGGUAACUGGCCUAACACUGACACUCAGACCCUAAAGCGUGGGGAUCAAACAGG
rnacentral:rRNA from 1 species